AUGAUUUCUACUCUGUCCAAAGAACAGGUGAAAGUAGCUGAACGACUUUUCUCAGAAGCACAGGGGCAGCAGCUCACCAGCACCUCUGCCUACUACACCUACCUGCUCCUGCUCCUGAACAGCGUGGUCUACUUUGCCUUCGCCACCUUCUGUCUGUUUAGAAGAAAAGCUGUCCGUGGUGAUGGGAAGAGUUCCUAACAGAUGGUUGCAGAAAGGGGACAUCUUUCCUGCAUCAUGUAUUGUCCCUGACAGAGUAGCCCACAGCAGCCAUUAGCGCCACUCUCUCCAGUCUCCUCCAGCUCCUCCAGCCAGCCCGAGUCGUGGCAGCUGCAGUGUAGACAGCACACAGCCUCCAGCCAUGCUCCAGUGCCCUUGC